GCAGGUGUAGUUCAAUGGUAGAACAUCAGCCUUCCAAGCUGAUUGUGAGGGUUCGAUUCCCUUCACCUGCU
rnacentral:tRNA from 1 species